GGAAUAUGAAAAAAGGACAGACUGAACUUAUUGCAGGACAGAUGCUGACUCACAGACACUGAAACACUUAUGGUCUCUAGUGGAGAUAGUUUGUGGGGUGGGAGGAUGUACUUGGGUUAUGGGAUAGAAAUCCUGUGAAACUGGAUUGUUAUGAUCAUUAUACAACUACAGAUGUGAUGAAUUCAAUGGAGUAAAAAAACAAAUUAUAAAAAAUAAACACAUAAAUAAAUAAAGCUGAAUAUAUCAAAAUAUGGAAUAAGAAAACUUCAAUUUGUCACUGGAAGAUUUAUGAAAUUGAAAAGGUUAAAAAGCAAAGCACAAAGAUAUGAACAUAGGUGGGGGUGAUGGAAUGCCAAAUGCUAACCAUAUAAAAAUGACCCUGAUAAUGCCUAAGGAAAUGGAGGAGACAGUUUGAAUACAAAGUGAUAAACCUACAAGAGAAACGCGGGCUUUUCACUUCACCAAAGGGCAGCCAUGGCACGAGGACCCUUAGGACACCAGGGACACAGCUAAGAACUGGAAGCGAAAGGAAACGAGGGAAGCAGUAUGUCCUCACCUCCACCACCACUGCCAAGGCACUGCCAAAGCUGUCCUGGACCUAGGGCACGGAGGGGUGCUUCGCUGGGACUUGGCGGCCUUCCAGGACUGACCAGGAGACACAAGGCCAAAAGGAAGCAGGGCACGCCUGCAGGAAGCUCCUACUGGCUCAAGUCUGGACUUUAAGUGCUUCCAUAAGGAUAACAACUGCCAGGAAUGGAACUUCAAGAGAUUAUUUUGGCAAGUCUUGAGUUCCCGAUGCUCUUUCAUUGCAAAGUAACUCCUGGAUCACGGCUGGUUUUGUUUGUGGUCGGUUUCCUGGUGGUUUUGGAGGCUGAGGAUGAUCUCCACCCCUGGGGAAUUCAGGGGAAGCGUGGACCCUGAACCUCGGUACUCUGUCCUGCUACCCUUGGACGUGCCCCUUCACCAAAGGGCAGCCAUGGCACGAGGACCCUUAGGACACCAGGGACACAGCUAAGAACUGGAAGCGAAAGGAAACGAGGGAAGCAGUAUGUCCUCACCUCCACCACCACUGCCAAGGCACUGCCAAAGCUGUCCUGGACCUAGGGCACGGAGGGGUGCUUCGCUGGGACUUGGCGGCCUUCCAGGACUGACCAGGAGACACAAGGCCAAAAGGAAGCAGGGCACGCCUGCAGGAAGCUCCUACUGGCUCAAGUCUGGACUUUAAGUGCUUCCAUAAGGAUAACAACUGCCAGGAAUGGAACUUCAAGAGAUUAUUUUGGCAAGUCUUGAGUUCCCGAUGCUCUUUCAUUGCAAAGUAACUCCUGGAUCACGGCUGGUUUUGUUUGUGGUCGGUUUCCUGGUGGUUUUGGAGGCUGAGGAUGAUCUCCACCCCUGGGGAAUUCAGGGGAAGCGUGGACCCUGAACCUCGGUACUCUGUCCUGCUACCCUUGGACGUGCCCCUUCACCAAAGGGCAGCCAUGGCACGAGGACCCUUAGGACACCAGGGACACAGCUAAGAACUGGAAGCGAAAGGAAACGAGGGAAGCAGUAUGUCCUCACCUCCACCACCACUGCCAAGGCACUGCCAAAGCUGUCCUGGACCUAGGGCACGGAGGGGUGCUUCGCUGGGACUUGGCGGCCUUCCAGGACUGACCAGGAGACACAAGGUGCCUAGAGACCAGGGGACACACCAGCAGGCAGAUCCCUGCCACGAGGGUCCCUCCUGAGUGCCACCAAGGGCUCUGACCCAAGAGUAGACCUGCCUGGGGGUGGGGGGCAGGGUGUGCAGAGAGAAGGCAAGAGGGGAGGAGGCGGGGCCACGCGCCCCGACGACACCCCGAGCAGAGCAGGUCCUGUCCUGGGCACAUUCAUGGGACGGGACAGGACAGGACAGGACAGGACAGGACAGGACAGGACAGGACAGGGAAGGGAUGAGGGUACUCUCCGAUGGCAAUUAAGGGAUGGUUGGGAGGGAGUGCCCCCUUGCUCCUGCGAUCCGUGCGGGUCAUCGGCACUUCCACAGGAAAGGAGAAGGAAAAGGAAAAGUACUGGCCAGGGCGCUGCUCCCAGGCACCUGCCCAAUCCUGCCUUCUAGACAGAGGCACACCCGCGCCAGAAGGCCUGAAAGUCAGGAAGCGAGUGUAAGUAAGGGACGGAAAGCGCAGAGCGAAAAGAAAGCAAAGGUGGAACUGAGGUGGAGCUGAAGCCUGAAGGUGAUCCCCGGGGCACUGUGUCCCAGGGGGGCAGCUGGAACCUGUGGCCCCCUAGGGGAAGAGCCAUCACCCGAGGCAGAGCCGUCAGCCACUGAGGCAAGGGUUUGGACCCUGGCCAGGGAGAGGCCUGCCUUGCGAUGCUGUAGUGCCCACCUGGGAAGGGGAAAGACAACCAGAAUGGGCCAAGGAGGAAGAACUGGGUCGGGCCGGGCCGGGGGGUGGGGUGGGGGGACGGGGUGGCCAGGAAG